rnacentral:rRNA from 1 species
UACGUAGGUGGCAAGCGUUAUCCGGAAUUAUUGGGCGUAAAGCGCGCGCAGGUGGUUUCUUAAGUCUGAUGUGAAAGCCCACGGCUCAACCGUGGAGGGUCAUUGGAAACUGGGAGACUUGAGUGCAGAAGAGGAAAGUGGAAUUCCAUGUGUAGCGGUGAAAUGCGUAGAGAUAUGGAGGGACACCAGUGGCGAAGGCGACUUUCUGGUCUGUAACUGACACUGAGGCGCGAAAAGCGUGGGGGAGCAAACAGG